AGAACGAAGACCGCUUGAUGAACUGGAAGGCCAAAGGACACGCUCAUCAMCUCGUAUGUGUCCCAAGUGGUAUCAAAGUCCAAUGACGAAGUGGACAACAAAAUGUGCGAAAGUCAGAGCAACAGCGAUAAUGACAAUCACAAUCCUCCUGGAGGUGCAGCUGCGCCCCCUUACAGUGCAAACCAUGCAGCUCUGAGCACCAAGUUGAGCAAACUCACGCUGGCAACAUUUGAUGACGAAGGACACUGUAUUGGCCAGAUGGGAUCUUGGUCGUUCAGCUAUUAAAAACCCGUGAAACUUUCA